AGGAAGUAGUAUAAUUGGGAGUACAUAGGGUUUUGGGCCCUGAAGUGCAGGUUCAGAUCCUGUUUUUCUA
rnacentral:tRNA from 1 species